CUGGGCGUAUACCGUAAUCAGGUAGCGGGCCGCGUUUGGGGCGCGGUGCGAAAGCUCUGGAGGUUCGAUUCCUCUCGCCCAGACCA
rnacentral:tRNA from 1 species